UUGAAAGGUAAAUUGAAAUAUUAAGAAGAAGAAGAUUGAGGACCAGACCAAGUUCACCUGAAUGCGUUAUUAACUUUAAAGGAGAGCAACCCUCUACUGAAAAGAGGAUCCAUCAAAGACCAGACUCUGCUGAACCUGAACCCAGCUGUGUGUCCUUCAAGAGUGACCGGU